rnacentral:rRNA from 1 species
GACGAACGCUGGCGGCGUGCUUAACACAUGCAAGUCGAACGGAAAGGCCCUGCUUUUGUGGGUUGCUCGAGUGGCGAACGGGUGAGUAACACGUGAGUAACCUGCCCUUGACUUUGGGAUAACUUCAGGAAACUGGGGCUAAUACCGGAUAGGAGCUCCUGCUGCAUGUUGGGGGUUGGAAAGUUUCGGCGGUUGGGGAUGGACUCGCGGCUUAUCAGCUUGUUGGUGGGGUAGUGGCUUACCAAGGCUUUGACGGGUAGCCGGCCUGAGAGGGUGACCGGCCGCAUUGGGACUGAGAUGAGGCCGAAACUGCUACGGGGGACAGCAGGGGGGAAUAUUGAACGAGGGGCGGAAGCCUGAUGAAGAAACGCCGCGUGCGGGAUGACGGCCUUAGGGUUGUAAACCGCUUUCGCCUGUGACGAAGCGUGAGUGAAGGUAAUGGGUAAAGAAGCACCGGCUAACUACGUG